AACGAACGCUGGCGGCAGGCCUAACACAUGCAAGUCGAACGCCCUAGCAAUAGGGAGUGGCAGACGGGUGAGUAACGCGUGGGAACGUACCCCUCGGUUCGGAAUAAGCCGGGGAAACCUGGUCUAAUACCGGAUACGUGCGAGAGCAGAAAGAUUUAUCGCCGAAGGAUCGGCCCGAGUACGAUUAGCUAGUUGGUGAGGUAAUGGCUCACCAAGGCGACGAUCGGUAGCUGGUCUGAGAGGAUGAUCAGCCACACUGGGACUGAGACACGGCCCAGACUCCUACGGGGGGAAGCAGUGGGGAAUAUUGGACAAUGGGCGCAAGCCUGAUCCAGCCAUGCCGCGUGAGUGAUGAAGGCCCUAGGGUUGUAAAGCUCUUUCGCCAGGGACGAUAAUGACGGUACCUGGAUAAGAAGCCCCGGCUAACUUCGUGCCAGCAGCCGCCGUAA
rnacentral:rRNA from 1 species